rnacentral:rRNA from 1 species
AGCGAACGCUGGCGGCAGGCCUAACACAUGCAAGUCGAACGAACUCUUCGGAGUUAGUGGCGGACGGGUGAGUAACACGUGGGAACGUGCCUUUUGGUUCGGAAUAACUCAGGGAAACUUGUGCUAAUACCGAAUGUGCCCUUCGGGGGAAAGAUUUAUCGCCAUUAGAGCGGCCCGCGUCUGAUUAGCUAAUUGGUGAGGUAACGGCUCACCAAGGCGACGAUCAGUAGCUGGUCUGAGAGGAUGACCAGCCACACUGGGACUGAGACACGGCCCAGACUCCUACGGGAGGCAGCAGUGGGGAAUCUUGCGCAAUGGGCGAAAGCCUGACGCAGCCAUGCCGCGUGAAUGAUGAAGGUCUUAGGAUUGUAAAAUUCUUUCACCGGGGACGAUAAUGACGGUACCCGGAGAAGAAGCCCCGGCUAACUUCGUG